UCGAUACUGUUGUUGUUGCUAAUAUCAUGCUUACUCGAAAGCAAAGAAUAGUGAAACGGAAGCCUGCCAUGUUUGUAUCAAAUGCUUCAAAGAGCUGUAUAAGAAAAUGCUAUCAAGAAGAAGAAGGAAACCCAUAAAAGAUACAAUUCGAAUAUGGGAUAAUGUGGUCACUGUAGGAGUGGUCUCGAUGUACUCGACUCUCUUUUGA
rnacentral:lncRNA from 1 species